UUAGGUUUAAAAUCACUGUCCAAAACCUUUGUAGGAACUCUUUUUCAACCUUUUGGAGUUAGUUAGACCAAAAAAAAAAGAAAAAUGAAAAAAAAAAUAUUUGGGGUUUACGGGCUUCCUGAAUGUAAUACCCGGGUAUUAGAUUUUAAGGCCAGGGUAAGGUUUAAGUUUUUUGGCGUUAGGGUUAAAAUCACUGUCCAAAACCUUUGUAGAAACUCUUUUCCAACCUUUUGGAGUUAGUUAGACCAAAAAAAAAAUAAAAAUGAAAAAAAAAUAUUUGGGGUGUUCAGGCUUCCUAAAAGUAAUACCUGGGUAUUAGGUUAUGGGGCUAUGGUAAGGUUUAAGGUUUUUGGCGUUAGGGUUAAAAUCACUGUACAAAACCUUUGUAGGAACUCUUUUCCAACCUUUUGGAGUUGGUUACACCAAAAAAAAUGUAAAAUGAAAAAAAAAAAAUAUUUGGGGUGUUCGGGCUUCCUGAAUGUAAUACCCGGGUAUUAGAUUUUAAGGCCAGGGUAAGGUUUAAGUUUUUUGGCAUUAGGGUUAAAAUCACUGUCCAAAACCUUUGUAGGAACACUUUUCCAACCUUUUGGAGUUGGUUAGACCAAAAAAAAAGAAAAAUGAAAAAAAAAUAUUUGGGGUGUUCAGGCUUCCUAAAAGUAAUACCCAGGUAUUAGGUUAUGGGGCUAUGGUAAGGUUUAAGUUUUUUGGCGUUAGGGUUAAAAUCACUGUCCAAAACCUUUGUAGGAACUCUUUUCCAACCUUUUGGAGUUAGUUAGACCAAAAAAAAAUGAAAAAUUAAAAAACAAUAUUUGGGGUUUUCGGGGUUCCUGAAUGUAAUACCCGGGUAUUAGAUUUUGAGGCUAGGGUAAGGUUUAAGUUUUGUGGCAUUAGGGUUAAAAUCACUGUCCAAAACCUUUGUAGGAACUCUUUUCCAACCUUUUGGAGUUGGUUACACCAACAAAAAUGUAAAAUGAAAAAAAAAAUAUUUGGGGUGUUCAGGCUUCCUAAAAGUAAUACCCAGGUAUUAGGUUAUGGGGCUAUGGUAAGGUUUAAGGUUUUUGGCGUUAGGGUUAAAAUCACUGUACAAAACCUUUGUAGGAACUUUUUUCCAACCUUUUGGAGUUGGUUACACCAAAAAAAAUGUAAAAUGAAAAAAAAAAAAUAUUUGGGGUGUUCGGGCUUCCUGAAUGUAAUACCCGGGUAUUAGAUUUUAAGGCCAGGGUAAGGUUUAAGUUUUUUGGCAUUAGGGUUAAAAUCACUGUCCAAAACCUUUGUAGGAACUCUUUUCUAACCUUUUGGAGUUAGUUAGACCAAAAAAAAAUGAAAAAUUAAAAAACAAUAUUUGGGGUGUUCAGGCGUCCUAAAAGUAAUACCCAGGUAUUAGGUUAUGGGGCUAUGGUAAGGUUUAAGUUUUUUGGCGUUAGGGUUAAAAUCACUGUCCAAAACCUUUGUAGGAACUCUUUUCCAACCUUUUGGAGUUGGUUACACCAACAAAAAUGUAAAAUGAAGAAAAAAAUAUUUGGGGUGUUCAGGCUUCCUGAAGGUAAUACCCGGGUAUUAGAUUUCAAGGCUAGGGUAAGGUUUAAGGUUUUUGGCGUUAGGGUUAAAAUCACUGUCCAAAACCUUUGUAGGAACUCUUUUCCAACCUUUUGGAGUUAGUUAGACCAAAAAAUAUGAAAAAAGAAAAAAGUAUUAUUGGGGGUUUUCGGGCUCCCUGAAAGUAAUACCCGUGUAUUAGGUUUUGGGACUAGGGAAAGGUUUAAGGGUUUUGGCGUUAGGGUUAAAAUCACUGUCCAAAACCUUUGUAGGAACUCUUUUCCAACCUUUUGGAGUUAGUUAGACCAAAAAAUAUGAAAAAAGAAAAAAAUAUUAUCGGGGGUUUUCGGGCUCCCUGAAAGUAAUACCCGUGUAUUAGGUUUUGGGACUAGGGAAAGGUUUAAGGUUUUUGGCGUUAGGGUUAAAAUCACUGUCCAAAACCUUUGUAGGAACUCUUUUCCAACCUUUUGGAGUUAGUUAGACCAAAAAAAAAAGAAAAAUGAAAAAAAAAAUAUUUGGGGUGUUCAGGCUUCCUAAAAGUAAUACCCGGGUAUUAGGUUAUGGGGCUAUGGUAAGGUUUAACGUUUUGGCGUUAGGUUUAAAAUCACUGUCCAAAACCUUUGUAGGAACUCUUUUCCAACCUUUUGGAGUUAGUUAGACCAAAAAAUAUGAAAAAAGAAAAAAAUAUUAUUGGGGGUUUUCGGGCUCCCUGAAAGUAAUACCCGGGUAUUAGGUUUUGGGGCUAUGGUAAGGUUUAAGUUUUUUGGCGUUAGGGUUAAAAUCACUGUCCAAAACCUUUGUAGGAACUCUUUUCCAACCUUUUGGAGUUGGUUACACCAAAAAAAAUGUAAAAUGAAAAAAAAAAAUAUUUGGGGUGUUCGGGCUUCCUGAAUGUAAUACCCGGGUAUUAGAUUUUAAGGCCAGGGUAAGGUUUAAGUUUUUUGGCAUUAGGGUUAAAAUCACUGUCCAAAACCUUUGUAGGAACACUUUUCCAACCUUUUGGAGUUGGUUAGACCAAAAAAAAAAGAAAAAUGAAAAAAAAAUAUUUGGGGUGUUCAGGCUUCCUAAAAGUAAUACCCAGGUAUUAGGUUAUGGGGCUAUGGUAAGGUUUAAGUUUUUUGGCGUUAGGGUUAAAAUCACUGUCCAAAACCUUUGUAGGAACUCUUUUCCAACCUUUUGGAGUUAGUUAGACCAAAAAAUAUGAAAAAAGAAAAAAAUAUUAUUGGGGGUUUUCGGGCUCCCUGAAAGUAAUACCCGUGUAUUAGGUUUUGGGACUAGGGAAAGGUUUAAGGUUUUUGGCGUUAGGGUUAAAAUCACUGUCCAAAACCUUUGUAGGAACUCUUUUCCAACCUUUUGGAGUUAGUUAGACCAAAAAAAAAAAGAAAAAUGAAAAAAAAAUAUUUGGGGUGUUCAGGCUUCCUAAAAGUAAUACCCGGGUAUUAGGUUAUGGGGCUAGGGUAAGGUUUAAGGUUUUUGGCGUUAGGGUUGAAAUCACUGUCCAAAACCUUUGUAGGAACGCUUUUUCAACCUUUUGGAGUUAGUUAGACCAAAAAAAAAAAGAAAAAUGAAAAAAAAAAUAUUUGGGGUUUACGGGCUUCCUGAAUGUAAUACCCGGGUAUUAAAUUUCAAGGCCAGGGUAAGGUUUAAGUUUUUUGGCGUUAGGGUUAAAAUCACUGUCCAAAACCUUUGUAGGAACUCUUUUCCAACCUUUUGGAGUUAGUUAGACCAAAAAAAAAAGAAAAAUGAAAAAAAAAUAUUUGGGGUGUUCAGGCUUCCUAAAAGUAAUACCUGGGUAUUAGGUUAUGGGGCUAUGGUAAGGUUUAAGGUUUUUGGCGUUAGGGUUAAAAUCACUGUCCAAAACCUUUGUAGGAACUCUUUUCCAACCUUUUGGAGUUGGUUACACCAAAAAAAAUGUAAAAUGAAAAAAAAAAAUAUUUGGGGUGUUCGGGCUUCCUGAAUGUAAUACCCGGGUAUUAGAUUUUAAGGCCAGGGUAAGGUUUAAGUUUUUUGGCAUUAGGGUUAAAAUCACUGUCCAAAACCUUUGUAGGAACACUUUUCCAACCUUUUGGAGUUGGUUAGACCAAAAAAAAAAGAAAAAUGAAAAAAAAUAUAUUUGGGGUGUUCAGGCUUCCUAAAAGUAAUACCCAGGUAUUAGGUUAUGGGGCUAUGGUAAGGUUUAAGUUUUUUGGCGUUAGGGUUAAAAUCACUGUCCAAAACCUUUGUAGGAACUCUUUUCCAACCUUUUGGAGUUAGUUAGACCAAAAAAAAAUGAAAAAUUAAAAAACAAUAUUUGGGGUUUUCGGGGUUCCUGAAUGUAAUACCCGGGUAUUAGAUUUUGAGGCUAGGGUAAGGUUUAAGUUUUGUGGCAUUAGGGUUAAAAUCACUGUCCAAAACCUUUGUAGGAACUCUUUUCCAACCUUUUGGAGUUGGUUACACCAACAAAAAUGUAAAAUGAAAAAAAAAAUAUUUGGGGUGUUCAGGCUUCCUAAAAGUAAUACCCAGGUAUUAGGUUAUGGGGCUAUGGUAAGGUUUAAGGUUUUUGGCGUUAGGGUUAAAAUCACUGUCCAAAACCUUUGUAGGAACUCUUUUCCAACCUUUUGGAGUUGGUUACACCAAAAAAAAUGUAAAAUGAAAAAAAAAAAAUAUUUGGGGUGUUCGGGCUUCCUGAAUGUAAUACCCGGGUAUUAGAUUUUAAGGCCAGGGUAAGGUUUAAGUUUUUUGGCAUUAGGGUUAAAAUCACUGUCCAAAACCUUUGUAGGAACUCUUUUCCAACCUUUUGGAGUUAGUUAGACCAAAAAAAAAUGAAAAAUUAAAAAACAAUAUUUGGGGUGUUCAGGCUUCCUAAAAGUAAUACCCAGGUAUUAGGUUAUGGGGCUAUGGUAAGGUUUAAGUUUUUUGGUGUUAGGGUUAAAAUCACUGUCCAAAACCUUUGUAGGAACUCUUUUCCAACCUUUUGGAGUUGGUUACACCAACAAAAAUGUAAAAUGAAGAAAAAAAUAUUUGGGGUGUUCAGGCUUCCUGAAGGUAAUACCCGGGUAUUAGAUUUCAAGGCUAGGGUAAGGUUUAAGGUUUUUGGCGUUAGGGUUAAAAUCACUGUCCAAAACCUUUGUAGGAACUCUUUUCCAACCUUUUGGAGUUAGUUAGACCAAAAAAUAUGAAAAAAGAAAAAAGUAUUAUUGGGGGUUUUCGGGCUCCCUGAAAGUAAUACCCGUGUAUUAGGUUUUGGGACUAGGGAAAGGUUUAAGGGUUUUGGCGUUAGGGUUAAAAUCACUGUCCAAAACCUUUGUAGGAACUCUUUUCCAACCUUUUGGAGUUAGUUAGACCAAAAAAUAUGAAAAAAGAAAAAAAUAUUAUUGGGGGUUUUCGGGCUUCCUGAAAGUAAUACCCGUGUAUUAGGUUUUGGGACUAGGGAAAGGUUUAAGGUUUUUGGCGUUAGGGUUAAAAUCACUGUCCAAAACCUUUGUAGGAACUCUUUUCCAACCUUUUGGAGUUAGUUAGACCAAAAAAAAAAGAAAAAUGAAAAAAAAUAUUUGGGGUGUUCAGGCUUCCUAAAAGUAAUACCCGGGUAUUAGGUUAUGGGGCUAUGGUAAGGUUUAAGUUUUUGGCGUUAGGGUUAAAAUCACUGUCCAAAACCUUUGUAGGAACUCUUUUCCAACCUUUUGGAGUUAGUUAGACCAAAAAAAUGAAAAAGAAAAAAAAUAUUAUUGGGGGUUUUCGGGCUUCCUGAAAGUAAUACCCGGGUAUUAGGUUUUGGGGCUAUGGUAAGGUUUAAGUUUUUUGGCGUUAGGGUUAAAAUCACUGUCCAAAACCUUUGUAGGAACUCUUUUCCAACCUUUUGGAGUUGGUUACACCAAAAAAAAUGUAAAAUGAAAAAAAAAAAAUAUUUGGGGUGUUCGGGCUUCCUGAAUGUAAUACCCGGGUAUUAGAUUUUAAGGCCAGGGUAAGGUUUAAGGGUUUUGGCGUUAGGGUUAAAAUCACUGUCCAAAACCUUUGUAGGAACUCUUUUCCAACCUUUGUGAGUUAGUUAGACCAAAAAAAAAAGAAAAAUGAAAAAAAAAUAUUUGGGGUGUUCAGGCUUCCUAAAAGUAAUACCUGGGUAUUAGGUUAUGGGGCUAUGGUAAGGUUUAAGGUUUUUGGCGUUAGGGUUAAAAUCACUGUCCAAAACCUUUGUAGGAACUCUUUUCCAACCUUUUGGAGUUAGUUACACCAAAAAAAAUGAAAAAUGAAAAAAAAAAUAUUUGGGGUUUACGGGCUUCCUGAAUGUAAUACCCGGGUAUUAAAUUUUAAGGCUAGGGUAAGGUUUAAGUUUUUUGGCGUUAGGGUUAAAAUCACUGUCCAAAACCUUUGUAGGAACUCUUUUCCAACCUUUUGGAGUUAGUUAGACCAAAAAAAAAAGAAAAAUGAAAAAAAAAAUAUUUGGGGUGUUCAGGCUUCCUAAAAGUAAUACCCGGGUAUUAGGUUAUGGGGCUAUGGUAAGGUUUAAGGUUUUUGGCGUUAGGGUUAAAAUCACUGUCCAAAACCUUUGUAGGAACUCUUUUCCAACCUUUUGGAGUUGGUUAGACCAAAAAAAAUGUAAAAUGAAAAAAAAAAUAUUUGGGGUGUUCAGGCUUCCUAAAAGUAAUACCUGGGUAUUAGGUUAUGGGGCUAUGGUAAGGUUUAAGGUUUUUGGCGUUAGGGUUAAAAUCACUGUCCAAAACCUUUGUAGGAACUCUUUUCCAACCUUUUGGAGUUGGUUACACCAAAAAAAAUGUAAAAUGAAAAAAAAAAAAUAUUUGGGGUGUUCGGGCUUCCUGAAUGUAAUAUUGUAUUAGAUUUUAAGGCCAGGGUAAGGUUUAAGGGUUUUGGCGUUAGGGUUAAAAUCACUGUCCAAAACCUUUGUAGGAACUCUUUUCCAACCUUUGUGAGUUAGUUAGACCAAAAAAAAAAGAAAAAUGAAAAAAAAAUAUUUGGGGUGUUCAGGCUUCCUAAAAGUAAUACCUGGGUAUUAGGUUAUGGGGCUAUGGUAAGGUUUAAGGUUUUUGGCGUUAGGGUUAAAAUCACUGUCCAAAACCUUUGUAGGAACUCUUUUCCAACCUUUUGGAGUUGGUUACACCAAAAAAAAUGUAAAAUGAAAAAAAAAAAUAUUUGGGGUUUACGGGCUUCCUGAAUGUAAUACCCGGGUAUUAGAUUUUAAGGCCAGGGUAAGGUUUAAGUUUUUUGGCGUUAGGGUUAAAAUCACUGUCCAAAACCUUUGUAGGAACUCUUUUCCAACCUUUUGGAGUUAGUUAGACCAAAAAAAAAAAGAAAAAUGAAAAAAAAAUAUUUGGGGUGUUCAGGCUUCCUAAAAGUAAUACCUGGGUAUUAGGUUAUGGGGCUAUGGUAAGGUUUAAGGUUUUUGGCGUUAGGGUUAAAAUCACUGUCCAAAACCUUUGUAGGAACUCUUUUCCAACCUUUGUGAGUUAGUUAGACCAAAAAAAAAAGAAAAAUGAAAAAAAAAUAUUUGGGGUGUUCAGGCUUCCUAAAAGUAAUACCUGGGUAUUAGGUUAUGGGGCUAUGGUAAGGUUUAAGGUUUUUGGCGUUAGGGUUAAAAUCACUGUCCAAAACCUUUGUAGGAACUCUUUUCCAACCUUUUGGAGUUAGUUAGACCAAAAAAAAUGUAAAAUGAAAAAAAAAAAAUAUUUGGGGUGUUCGGGCUUCCUGAAUGUAAUACCCGGGUAUUAGAUUUUAAGGCCAGGGUAAGGUUUAAGGGUUUUGGCGUUAGGGUUAAAAUCACUGUCCAAAACCUUUGUAGGAACUCUUUUCCAACCUUUUGGAGUUGGUUACACCAAAAAAAAUGUAAAAUGAAAAAAAAAAAAUAUUUGGGGUUUACGGGCUUCCUGAAUGUAAUACCCGGGUAUUAAAUUUUAAGGCCAGGGUAAGGUUUAAGUUUUUUGGCGUUAGGGUUAAAAUCACUGUCCAAAACCUUUGUAGGAACUCUUUUCCAACCUUUUGGAGUUAGUUAGACCAAAAAAAAAAGAAAAAUGAAAAAAAAAUAUUUGGGGUGUUCAGGCUUCCUAAAAGUAAUACCUGGGUAUUAGGUUAUGGGGCUAUGGUAAGGUUUAAGGUUUUUGGCGUUAGGGUUAAAAUCACUGUCCAAAACCUUUGUAGGAACUCUUUUCCAACCUUUUGGAGUUGGUUACACCAAAAAAAAUGUAAAAUGAAAAAAAAAAAAUAUUUGGGGUGUUCGGGCUUCCUGAAUGUAAUAUUGUAUUAGAUUUUAAGGCCAGGGUAAGGUUUAAGUUUUUUGGCAUUAGGGUUAAAAUCACUGUCCAAAGCCUUUGUAGGAACACUUUUCCAACCUUUUGGAGUUGGUUAGACCAAAAAAAAAAGAAAAAUGAAAAAAAAAAUAUUUGGGGUGUUCAGGCUUCCUCAAAGUAAUACCCAGGUAUUAGGUUAUGGGGCUAUGGUAAGGUUUAAGUUUUUUGGCGUUAGGGUUAAAAUCACUGUCCAAAACCUUUGUAGGAACUCUUUUCCAACCUUUUGGAGUUGGUUACACCAACAAAAAUGUAAAAUGAAGAAAAAAAUAUUUGGGGUGUCAGGCUUCCUGAAGGUAAUACCCGGGUAUUAGAUUUCAAGGCUAAGGUAAGGUUUAAGGUUUUUGGCGUUAGGGUUAAAAUCACUGUCCAAAACCUUUGUAGGAACUCUUUUCCAACCUUUUGGAGUUAGUUAGACCAAAAAAUAUGAAAAAAGAAAAAAGUAUUAUUGGGGGUUUUCGGGCUCCCUGAAAGUAAUACCCGUGUAUAUGGUUUUGGGACUAGGGAAAGGUUUAAGGGUUUUGGCGUUAGGGUUAAAAUCACUGUCCAAAACCUUUGUAGGAACUCUUUUCCAACCUUUGUGAGUUAGUUAGACCAAAAAAAAAAGAAAAAUGAAAAAAAAAUAUUUGGGGUGUUCAGGCUUCCUAAAAGUAAUACCCGGGUAUUAGGUUAUGGGGCUAUGGUAAGGUUUAACGUUUUGGCGUUAGGUUUAAAAUCACUGUCCAAAACCUUUGUAGGAACUCUUUAACAACCUUUUGGAUUUAGUUAGACCAAAAAAAAAUGAAAAAUUAAAAAAAAUAUAUUUGGGGUGUUCAGGCUUCCUAAAAGUAAUACCCGGGUAUUAGGUUAUGGGGCUAUGGUAAGGUUUAAGGUUUUUGGCGUUAAGGUUAAAAUCACUGUCCAAAACCUUUGUAGGAACUCUUUUUCAACCUUUUGGAGUUAGUUAGACCAAAAAAAAAUGAAAAAUGAAAAAAAAAAUAUUUGGGGUUUACGGGCUUCCUGAAUGUAAUACCCGGGUAUUAGAUUUUAAGGCCAGGGAAAGGUUUACGUUUUUUGGCGUUAGGGUUAAAAUCACUGUCCAAAACCUUUGUAGGAACUCUUUUCCAACCUUUUGGAGUUAGUUAGACCAAAAAAUAUGAAAAAAGAAAAAAGUAUUAUUGGGGGUUUUCGGGCUCCCUGAAAGUAAUACCCGUGUAUUAGGUUUUGGGACUAGGGAAAGGUUUAAGGGUUUUGGCGUUAGGGUUAAAAUCACUGUCCAAAACCUUUGUAGGAACUCUUUUCCAACCUUUGUGAGUUAGUUAGACCAAAAAAAAAAGAAAAAUGAAAAAAAAAUAUUUGGGGUGUUCAGGCUUCCUAAAAGUAAUACCCGGGUAUUAGGUUAUGGGGCUAUGGUAAGGUUUAACGUUUUGGCGUUAGGUUUAAAAUCACUGUCCAAAACCUUUGUAGGAACUCUUUUCCAACCUUUUGGAUUUAGUUAGACCAAAAAAAAAUGAAAAAUUAAAAAAAAUAUAUUUGGGGUGUUCAGGCUUCCUAAAAGUAAUACCCGGGUAUUAGGUUAUGGGGCUAUGGUAAGGUUUAAGGUUUUUGGCGUUAAGGUUAAAAUCACUGUCCAAAACCUUUGUAGGAACUCUUUUUCAACCUUUUGGAGUUAGUUAGACCAAAAAAAAAAAUGAAAAAUGAAAAAAAAAAUAUUUGGGGUUUUACGGGCUUCCUGAAUGUAAUACCCGGGUAUUAGAUUUUAAGGCCAGGGAAAGGUUUAAGUUUUUUGGCGUUAGGGUUAAAAUCACUGUCCAAAACCUUUGUAGGAACUCUUUUCCAACCUUUUGGAGUUAGUUAGACCAAAAAAUAUGAAAAAAGAAAAAAAUAUUAUUGGGGGUUUUCGGGCUCCCUGAAGGUAAUACCCAGGUAUUAGGUUUUGGGACUGAGAAAGGCUUAAGGUUUUUGGCGUUAGGGUUAAAAUCACUGUCCAAAACCUUUGUAGGAACUCUUUUCCAACCUUUUGGUGUUAGUUUGACCAAAAAAAAAUGAAAAAUUAAAAAACAAUAUUUGGGGUUUUCGGGGUUCCUGAAUGUAAUACCCGGGUAUUAGGUUUUGGGGCUAGGGUAAGGUUUAAGGUUUUUGGCGUUAGGGUUAAAAUCACUGUCCAAAACCUUUGUAGGAACUCUUUUCCAACCUUUUGGAGUUGGUUACACCAACAAAAAUGUAAAAUGAAGAAAAAAAUAUUUGGGGUGUUCAGGCUUCCUGAAGGUAAUACCCGGGUAUUAGAUUUCAAGGCUAAGGUAAGGUUUAAGGUUUUUGGCGUUAGGGUUAAAAUCACUGUCCAAAACCUUUGUAGGAACUCUUUUCCAACCUUUUGGAGUUAGUUAGACCAAAAAAUAUGAAAAAAGAAAAAAGUAUUAUUGGGGGUUUUCGGGCUCCCUGAAAGUAAUACCCGUGUAUAUGGUUUUGGGACUAGGGAAAGGUUUAAGGGUUUUGGCGUUAGGGUUAAAAUCACUGUCCAAAACCUUUGUAGGAACUCUUUUCCAACCUUUGUGAGUUAGUUAGACCAAAAAAAAAAAGAAAAAUGAAAAAAAAAUAUUUGGGGUGUUCAGGCUUCCUAAAAGUAAUACCCGGGUAUUAGGUUAUGGGGCUAUGGUAAGGUUUAACGUUUUGGCGUUAGGUUUAAAAUCACUGUCCAAAACCUUUGUAGGAACUCUUUUCCAACCUUUUGGAUUUAGUUAGACCAAAAAAAAAAGAAAAAUGAAAAAAAAUAUAUUUGGGGUGUUCAGGCUUCCUAAAAGUAAUACCCGGGUAUUAGGUUAUGGGGCUAUGGUAAGGUUUAAGGUUUUUGGCGUUAAGGUUAAAAUCACUGUCCAAAACCUUUGUAGGAACUCUUUUCCAACCUUUUGGAGUUAGUUAGACCAAAAAAAAAAUGAAAAAUGAAAAAAAAAUAUUUGGGGUUUACGGGCUUCCUGAAUGUAAUACCCGGGUAUUAGAUUUUAAGGCCAGGGAAAGGUUUACGUUUUUUGGCGUUAGGGUUAAAAUCACUGUCCAAAACCUUUGUAGGAACUCUUUUCCAACCUUUUGGAGUUAGUUAGACCAAAAAAUAUGAAAAAAGAAAAAAAUAUUAUUGGGGGUUUUCGGGCUCCCUGAAAGUAAUACCCGUGUAUUAGGUUUUGGGACUAGGGAAAGGUUUAAGGGUUUUGGCGUUAGGGUUAAAAUCACUGUCCAAAACCUUUGUAGGAACUCUUUUCCAACCUUUGUGAGUUAGUUAGACCAAAAAAAAAAGAAAAAUGAAAAAAAAAUAUUUGGGGUGUUCAGGCUUCCUAAAAGUAAUACCCGGGUAUUAGGUUAUGGGGCUAUGGUAAGGUUUAACGUUUUGGCGUUAGGUUUAAAAUCACUGUCCAAAACCUUUGUAGGAACUCUUUUCCAACCUUUUGGAGUUAGUUAGACCAAAAAAAAAUGAAAAAUGAAAAAAAAUAUAUUUGGGGUGUUCAGGCUUCCUAAAAGUAAUACCCGGGUAUUAGGUUAUGGGGCUAUGGUAAGGUUUAAGGUUUUUGGCGUUAAGGUUAAAAUCACUGUCCAAAACCUUUGUAGGAACUCUUUUUCAACCUUUUGGAGUUAGUUAGACCAAAAAAAAAUGAAAAAUGAAAAAAAAAAUAUUUGGGGUUCACGGGCUUCCUGAAUGUAAUACCCGGGUAUUAGAUUUUAAGGCCAGGGAAAGGUUUAAGUUUUUUGGCGUUAGGGUUAAAAUCACUGUCCAAAACCUUUGUAGGAACUCUUUUCCAACCUUUUGGAGUUAGUUAGACCAAAAAAUAUGAAAAAAGAAAAAAAUAUUAUUGGGGGUUUUCGGGCUCCCUGAAGGUAAUACCCAGGUAUUAGGUUUUGGGACUGAGAAAGGCUUAAGGUUUUUGGCGUUAGGGUUAAAAUCACUGUCCAAAACCUUUGUAGGAACUCUUUUCCAACCUUUUGGUGUUAGUU